AGGCACCUGGAACAAUCAGGGCACCGGGAGUAGCCGACUCAGCUGAUGCCGGUGAUGAAUUUCUCUCAUUGAAAUCCUACCCAUCUCGGGCGCCUUGGUUCCCUUACGAAUCAGCCCUUUCAUCACAAAGAAAGCCCUCUUUCCAGAUAAUCUAAGGGUCAUUGUGCCAACAUCCGGGCGUGGAGAGUUUCCGUAGGGAGAAGGACGGAGAGGGGCCCCCUCGGCGGGGACGCGGGCCGAUGGCUGGAAGGGCGUGGAGGGCGGUGCAGCGUGCGAGCCCCAGCCGAGGGCCGUCCCCGCCUCCGCUCGGCUGCCCCGGCGAGUCGCCUAUUUAGGGUGCGGCGGCGGGCGGCAGCGGUGCGCCCAUGGCGGCCCUGGGGGACGAGGUGCUGGACGGUUACGUGUUCCCGGCGUGCCCCCCCUGCUCGUACCCUUACCCGGCGGCCACCAAGGGCAAGGGCGCGGCGGGCGGUAACUGGCAGCACCGCGGCGGGGGCUGCCUUCCCGCCGCCUCCCCAUCCUCGGUGGGCGCGGCCUCGUCGUCCUUCCCGGGCCGAGGGAGGCUGACAGCCGCCGAGUACUUCGACAGCUACCAGCGGGCGCAGCUCAUGGCUCUCCUGGCGCAGGUGGGGCCGGGUCUCGGGCCGCGCGCCCGGAGGGCCGGCAGCUGCGACGUGGCGGUGCAGGUGAGCCCGCGCAUCGACGCCGCGGUACAGUGCUCGCUGGGGAGGCGCACGCUGCAGCGCCGGGCCCGCGACCCCGAGUCCCCGGCCGGCCCCAUGGCCGAGGGCACCACGGGCGGCGGCUCUAACUCCCAGCAGCCAGCCUGUCGAGGCCUGGAGCAGGGCGGCCCCCAGAACGGCGCCCCGCGGCCCUUGCGCUUCCCGCGCACAGUCGCCGUGUACUCGCCCGUGGCCUCGCGCCGUCUCACCACCUUCCUGGAGGGACCCGGGGCUGCGGCGGGCGAGCAGAGGUCCGGGGCGUCGAAUGGAGAGCGGGGGCCGCCGCCCGCGAGGGUUCAAGACCCAGAGGAGGGGGAGGUGUGGACGAGGAAGGCGCCCCGGCGGCCGCAGUCCGAUGACGACGACGACGGCGAGGCCCAGGCCGCUGUCCGAGCGAGCUGGGAGCAGCCGACCGACGGUCCCGAGCUGCCGCCGCGAGAGGCCCAGGAGGGGGAGGCGGCUCCGCGGUCGGCGCUAAGGAGCCCGGGGCAACCUCCGCCGGCAGGCAGGGCCCGAGACGGCGGCGACGGACGGGAGGCGGCCGCCGCGGGAGAGAGGCCAUCGCCACGGAGCCCGGAGCCGGGCAAGGAGCGGCUGCGCUUCCAAUUCUUAGAGCAGAAAUAUGGCUAUUACCACUGCAAGGACUGCAACAUCCGCUGGGAGAGUGCUUAUGUGUGGUGUGUACAGGGAACUAACAAGGUUUACUUCAAACAGUUUUGCAGAACUUGUCAGAAGUCUUAUAACCCUUACCGAGUGGAGGAUAUCACCUGUCAAGUUAUCCUGGUGUUUUAUGUGAGCAGUAUUUACUCAUAGGCCUGAAUGAGGAUCCUUACUCUUCUCUUGAGUCUUUUUCUAAGAACGCAUGUAAUGAUUUCCUAAAUAAGCAGCAUGAAGAAACUGCCAGAUUGCUGCUUUUACUGUUGUCUUGGUCUUGCUCUGUCACCUGUGCUGGAGUGCAGUGCUACAUUCACAGCUCACUGCAGCUUCUAACUCCUGGGCUCAAGUCAUUGUCCCAGCUCAGCCUCCCAAGUAACUAGGACUACAGGUAUGUGCCACCAUCCCUGGCUUUUACUUGACUUUUGAUUAUAGAUGAUCUGUUUCUGCUAUGGAAGCCUUUAAGGUCUGGAACCUUUUACAACUGCUGGGUAUCUGCUGUCUUAUUUACUCAUAGGUCCUGACAUAGCACAUCAUUAAAAAACAAAUUAUUCCUUAACUGAAGAAAAAAAAAGACCACUCUAAGUGACUUUUGACUUAAGCUAUUCUAACAACUAAUAAAUGUAUAUUUUAAAAAUUUUCUAGAAUCAGUUACUGAUGCCUAAUACAACUGAAUAUUUACCUCUGCUUCAUUUUUUAUUGUAUUUACUUGGUUGAUAAGUUUACAGUAGGCCUGGAACAGAAGCAGCAAUUGAAAAUGCAAUUUGUAUAAUCUUCGGCAGAGCUCCAAUUCCUAGAAAUAAAUAACAUUACAUUAAAUUUAGGUGUUGUUUUCUAGACAGCAUAUUUCCAAUGAAAAUUUAUAGUUAAAAUUGUCUUGUCAUUUAUUUUUCUGCAGUAAGCAAGUUAAUAUGGUGUGAAGCUGAUGAAAGGCAGGCGAAAUAUGCUUUAACGACUAAGAUUAAAAUGAAAACAAGUAUCACUGCUGGUUACAUAAUUCAGUUUUAAUGUUAAGCACAUUUUCACAUUCUACAAAUAGACUGUUUCAGCAGGCAAUUAAUAGGAUACUUUAAAAAGGAUUCAUUAGAAUUUAAAACUUUAAAUUCAUAAUUAAAAUAAUCUACAAAUGCAAAGACUUUUGCCCUCAUUGAGAUGUAGAUCUCACUGCAUUUAUCAACAAAUGCUUGAUAAAGCAAAGUGAAACCGGAUAACCGCUUACCUAAAAAGUAAGAAAAGCUGUCUUUUAAAGUGAGAUCAGUUUUCUAAAGAAAACUACUUGGUAAUCUCAUUGAAAUGAAACUAUGAAAUUAACACGUGGGCUGAGCAUGGUGGCUCACGCCUGUAAUCCUAGCACUUUGGGAGGCCAAGGCGGGCAGAUC